rnacentral:rRNA from 1 species
CGCCCUUAGAGUUUGAUCAUGGCUCAGGACGAACGCUGGCGGCGUGCCUAAUACAUGCAAGUAGAACGGAGGAGCUUGCUCUUCGAGUUGCGAACGGGUGAGUAACGCGUAGGUAACCUGCCUUGUAGCGGGGGAUAACUAUUGGAAACGAUAGCUAAUACCGCAUAACAAUGGGACACAUGUCUUUAUUUGAAAGGGGAUUGCUCCACUACAAGAUGGACCUGCGUUGUAUUAGCUAGUAGGCGAGGUAAUGGCUCACCUAGGCGACGAUACAUAGCCGACCUGAGAGGGUGAUCGGCCACACUGGGACUGAGACACGGCCCAGACUCCUACGGGAGGCAGCAGUAGGGAAUCUUCGGCAAUGGGGGCAACCCUGACCGAGCAACGCCGCGUGAGUGAAGAAGGUUUUCGGAUCGUAAGCUCUGUUGUAAGUCAAGAACGGGUGUGAGGAAAUUCACACUGUGACGGU